GUUUUCCUACGGGGCGCAGCAGUGGGGGAUAUUGCACAAUGGGGGGAACCCUGAUGCAGCGACGCCGCGUGAACGAAGAAAUAUUUCGGUAUGUAAAGUUCUAUCAGCAGGGAAGAAAAUGACAGUACCUGACCAAGAAGCCCCGGCUAACUACGUGCCAGCAGCCGCGGUAAUACGUAGGGGGCGAGCGUUAUCCGGAUUUACUGGGUGUAAAGGGAGCGCAGGCGGCGUGGCAAGUCAGAUGUGAAAACCCGGGGCCAAACCCCGGGAGUGCAUUUGUAACUGCCAUGCUGGAGUGCCGGAGG
rnacentral:rRNA from 1 species